CCUACCAUGGUAGUAACGGGUAACGGGGAAUUAGGGUUCGAUUCCGGAGAGGGAGCCUGAGAAACGGCUACCACAUCCAAGGAAGGCAGCAGGCGCGCAAAUUACCCAAUCCCGACACGGGGAGGUAGUGACAAUAAAUAACAAUAUGGGGCUAUUACGAGUCUCGUAAUUGGAAUGAGUACAAUUUAAACCUCUUAACGAGGAACAAUUGGAGGGCAAGUCUGGUGCCAGCAGCCGCGGUAAUUCCAGCUCCAACAGCGUAUAUUAAAGUUGUUGCAGUUAAAAAGCUCGUAGCUGAAUUUUAGGCCUGGCCAGGCGGUCCGUCUUUGGCGAGUACUGUCUUGUUGUCGGGUCUUCCUUCUGGUGAACCAGUAUGUCCUUUAUUGGGUGUGUUGGGGAGCCAGGACCAUUACCUUGAAAAAAUCAGAGUGUUUAGAGCGGGCUAUUGCUUGAAUAGAUUAGCAUGGAAUAAUAGAAUAGGACGUUUGUGGUUCUAUUUUGUUGGUUUCUAGGACCACCGUAAUGAUUAAUAGGGAUAGUUGGGGGCAUUAGUAUUCAAUUGUCAGAGGUGAAAUUCUUGGAUUUAUUGAAGACUAACUAUUGCGAAAGCAUUUGCCAAGGAUGUUUUCAUUAAUCAAGAACGAAAGUUAGGGGAUCGAAGACGAUCAGAUACCGUCGUAGUCUUAACCAUAAACUAUGCCGACUAGGAAUCGGGCGUCGUUAUUUUCACGACUCGCUCGGCGCCUUAUGGGAACA
rnacentral:rRNA from 1 species